CUCUUCCGAUGGGUCCAAAGUUCUCCUAAAACAGGCAAGAUGUUUUCUCACUCAAUUAGAAAGGUGUUUCAAGAACCAUCUACUAAGUGUAUAUGACAUGCCAAGUUUGUUCUAGCAGUGAGAAUACAACAGGGGACAAACAAGUCUUUGCCCUCAUGAAGCUGAAAAAUUAGCAAAGACCAACCGAUCGAUUAACAGCCAAUGCUAAAAUACGCCGUGUAGCGAUAAGAACUUGGAAGACAAAUAAAGCAGGGUGAGGGCACUAGGGAUGGCACGUGAAAACACGACUCUUAGGCAGAAAGCAGAAUGAACAGCGGGAGUAAGCACCCGGAGCGUCGGCAAGACGAGAGGCUGUGGGCAGUGGAGAGGCCAAGUGCCAUGACGAAAUGCCAGGACACGGCUGGAAAAGAAGGGUGGAAAGAAGGGGUACUGGACUGAGUACUGAAGAGGGACUUCCACUGUUAUUCUACAUGUUAUCGGAUUGUUUGAAUUUCUUCUCGAUUGAAAUAAUAAGAUUGGAACGAAAGAGCGAAUGAAAACUGUGUUCAUGAAGAAAGUAACCUACUUCACAUACUCUUGCUUCUAAAAGAGACGUUGAAGAUUAUGGACAAUUUAAAUCUUUUCAUCAGUGAAUCUGGUGUGAAAACUUUUUAAGUGGCCCUAAUAUAUAAUGAAUAAUCUCAGGGCAGAGAUCUGUUUGAAGGAGAUAUGAUUGAUGGUCUAUCAUUCCUAAUUCACUGUUUAUACUGGUAGCGAGCCUACUGGGAAAAUACCUCAUUCAUCAGGGUAUUAGUGAAUUCAACCAACGUAUGGCACCUUCAUUUUAACAAACUAAAGGAGAAAAGCUAAAUGGGGGAAAUUGACAACCAUCUCUGAUUCUAUGAUAAUGCAAUUAGGCUGCUCCUCUCCAGAGCUUUUGCUAAUUCACAAAACAGCUUCAGUCGGCAGGUCAUAAAUAUAUGAUCAUUUUUCACACUUUGAAAAGUAAUGAUGCCUUGACAUGAAUCAAUAAAUCUUGGUGAAGUCCUUUAUACUUUUUAUGU
rnacentral:lncRNA from 1 species